GGGGGUAUAGCUCAGUUGGUAGAGCGUCUGCCUUACAAGCAGAAUGUCAGCGGUUCGAAUCCGUUUGCCCUCA
rnacentral:ncRNA from 12 species